GAUGAACGCUGGCGGCGUGCUUAAUACAUGCAAGUCGAGCGAACAGACGAGGAGCUUGCUCCUUUGACGUUAGCGGCGGACGGGUGAGUAACACGUGUAUAACCUACCUAUAAGACUGGGAUAACUUCGGGAAACCGGCUCUAAUACCGUAUAAUCUAUUGAACCGUGUGGUUCAAUGGUGAAAUACGGUUUUUCUGUCACUUAUAGAUGCAUCCGGGCCGCAUUAGAUAGUUGGUAAGGUAACGGCUUAUCAAGGGAACGAUGCGUAGCCGACCUGAGGGAGUGGUCGGCCGCACUGGAACUGGGACGCGGUCCAGACGACUACGAGAGGCAGCAGUAGGGAAUCUGCCGCAGUAGGCGAAAGCCUGACGGAGCAGCGCCGCGUGAGAGAUGACGGUCUUCGGAUCGUGAAGCUCUGUUAUUAGGGAAGAACAGAUGUGUAAGGAGAUAUGGCCGUCUUGACGGUAACUAAUCAGAAAGCAACGGCUAACUACGUG
rnacentral:rRNA from 1 species